rnacentral:rRNA from 1 species
AACGCGAAGAACCUUACCAGGUCUUGACAUCCUCUGACAACCCUAGAGAUAGGGCGUUCCCCUUCGGGGGACAGAGUGACAGGUGGUGCAUGGUUGUCGUCAGCUCGUGUCGUGAGAUGUUGGGUUAAGUCCCGCAACGAGCGCAACCCUUGAUCUUAGUUGCCAGCAUUCAGUUGGGCACUCUAAGGUGACUGCCGGUGACAAACCGGAGGAAGGUGGGGAUGACGUCAAAUCAUCAUGCCCCUUAUGACCUGGGCUACACACGUGCUACAAUGGAUGGUACAAAGGGCAGCAAAGCCGCGAGGCCGAGCAAAUCCCAUAAAGCCAUUCUCAGUUCGGAUUGCAGGCUGCAACUCGCCUGCAUGAAGCCGGAAUCGCUAGUAAUCGCGGAUCAGCAUGCCGCGGUGAAUACGUUCCCGGGCCUUGUA